AAGAGACAUCAAGUUUAUAAGGUUGAGAAGCAUAAAAGCUUAAGUUGUUUAUCUAAGAUGUUUUUAGGUCUAAAAAAUAUUUUUAGGAUGAUAAUACAAGUUAUGACAAAAAUGGUUUAGGUGUACAAUUUUGGAUUUGCUAAGAUAGGAUUGAUAGCAUAGUACUUUCUCCAAAUUUGUCAAAUACAUAUGUACUAAACAUUGUAAAUGUAAUCUUACCUAAUAAUUGUUCUUACUAUUUAUAAUUUUACUUUGUUAGGGUUAAAAGCUUUCCUUUAUUUAGACAAAAGUGGGAAAUGUUGUGGAAUAUUUUUACACUGUGUGAGUGUAUAUUGCUGUGACUGAUGUAAUAAAACUGGAAUGUCUAAUAUCUAGGCAGGAGAUAAAGACAGGACUUCUGGGGAGAGAAAAGAAGAGGAGGAGGAAUCUAGGCAUACUGGAGACACCAGAAGACACAGAGAAAACAGGAGGUGCAAGAUGGAAGAGAGCUAACACCACGUGAUAGAACAUAGGUUAAUAUAAAUGGGUUAGUUUAAGUUGUAAGAACAGUUAGGAACAAGGCUACAACAAGCCAAGCUUUCAUAAUUAGUAAGAAGUCUCCAUGUCAUUAUUUGGGAGCUGGCAGCAAGGACAGAGAAAGAUUUGUUACAAGAAACCAAGUGGAGAAACAGCAUUUAUUUUUCUUUGCUUCUUGACUAUGGACACUGUGACCAGCACUUCUCAUAUCCAUUGACAUGGAUUCUCUGCCAUGAUAGGCUGUCUCCUCAAAUUGGGAGCCCAAACAAACCUGCUUAAACCCAUUCUGUCAGGUGAUCUGUUACAGCAAUGGAAGUAACUACUGCAGAAAACUGGAGAACUGGAAAAGAGGAUCCAUGUGGUACUUAGGUCUUUGGGGCUGGUUUGUGGGAUGAAUGGGGAAGAGUUUGGAACUUGGGGCUAGAAAAGCCCUUGAGUGUUACAAAUACAGCUUAAUGUCCCAUUCUGGUGUGAUUUUAGAAAACCAGAAUUUGAGAGAGAUGCAGACAAUGGAGGUAUGGCCACGAGGUUUUAGAGAGAAGUAAGAAGUCUCUUGGGAACUGGGUUAGAGAACAUUUGUUCUGUAUUCUGGCAAAGAAUCUGAUGUUUUCUGCUCAUGUCCUGAGAACUCAAGUGAGGUUGAACUCAAAAGUAAUGGAUAGCUUUGUCUGACAGAUGAAUUUUCAAGAGAGGGUUCUGUCCAGGCUGUGACAUGGUGACUGCUCAUCAUUUUCCAGAUCUAUAGCGAGUGAGAGCAUCAACUCCAUUAGGAGGAGAUGAAAAUGGUCCACUUGGUGGGGAAAUGAAUGAGUGCAGAGUUUCAGACAAGAAGGCUGAAGAAGCAGUUAUAAUUGGGAAAGAGAUUAGUAAUAUUAAUGAAAACCUUUUAGUCUAUGCUGGGAAGAUAAGAAAGAUGCCCUGAAAAUGAGAAGACACCCACUAAAGCCUCUGUGUUGGGGAAAUACAAAUUCAUCUGAAAGUAGAUAUUCUAAGCUGAGAAUGCUACUGAAGAGGUUCCUUCAAACAAUGCCUAGGCACAGAGGCCACUAUGCAGUGGCUCUCAGCAGCAGCAGCCACGUAGGGAUGCUCAAUAUUUUGGCUUCUCUGAGCCAUAUUGGAUAAAGAAGCAUUGUCUUCGGUUACAUAUUAAAUACACAAAUACUGAGGCUGGAGAUGUGGUUCAACAGUUAAGAACACUUAUUGCUUUUGCAGAGCAUGUACACUCAGUUCCUAGUACCCACAUGGUGGUUCACAACCAUCCUUAGCUCCAGUUCCAGGGGAUUGGACAGUCUCUUCUGACCCCUGUGGGUACCAGACAUACACACAGUACACAGACAUAUACUCAGGCAAAAGAUUCGUACACAUAAACUAGUAAAUCUAAAAUCUAAAAUUAAAAAAUGACGCAAAUACCAAUGAAAGCAAAUAAGCAAACAAAAGUCUCCAAUAUAAUUUUAUGACUUUAGCACCACAGUUAACAAAUUUCUUAUAUAAUCCUAAUAAUCACCAUUAAAGUCAUAAAGAAGGUCCUUAGUUUGCAGUCAUUAAUGUAGAAAACAUAUCUAAGUAAUAAAACUCCACUGAUUGAACAUUUUUUAAAAAUUGUAAAACUAAAAGAAAAGGGGGUAACAAGGCUAUGAUUGAUGCUGUAUCUCAGAAGCUAAUCAUUGGGUCUUUUCUAUACCGCACUGCCAAUGUAGUGCAAGGCAGAAGGUUGAUAAUCAUUGAGGCACAGCCAUGGUAUGGGAGUAGCUUAAAUAAUCAAAUGAAACCACUUACCUGUCUUCUAAAUAGCAUUCAUAGGCCUGGGAAGAUGACUCAGCACAGUACUUGUUGUGCAAUCAUGAGUAUCUGAGUUCAGAUCUUCAGUACCCACCUAAAACCCAGAUGUAGCACAUGCUUGUAAUUGGGGAUAUGGAGAUAGGAGGCUCCCUAGAGCUCAUCUGCCAGCUAGUCUUGCCCAAGCAGUGAGUUCCAGGCUCAGUGAGAGCUCUUAUCUAUAAAAGCAAGGCGAGAGCAAUAAAUAGUCUAGGUCUUGACUAGAUCUAUGGCCUGUAAUGCAUGUUCACAUAGACACGAACACACACACACACACACACACACAGAGAUCACAUCGCAUUGUGAGAGUGUUAACUGUCAAUCUGAUAGAAUCCUUGUUAUCUGGGAAACAAGCCUUUGGCUCUGCCAGUGUGGAAUUAUCUUAUUUCUGUUAGUUGUGGUGGAAAGACCCAUUCUAAACUAGAUGGCACAAUUUUCUUGGUUUGGGGUCUCCACAAUUUACUAAUUGCCCCUGCUUCCUUAAAUGUCAAGCAGAAUGGUCCCUCCAGAAGGGUUUGGAAGCAUCAGCAGCAGUUCAAGUGCUUUCCAGAGGCCCUGAUGGCCCAUGGUUCUGUGUCCUAGGGCAUCUCUGGCAAUGCAGAUUGCUGAGUACAAAAGAGGCAGGUGUGGCCCCUCAUCAGAAAGUGUUGAAGAUGAGUUUCACCUUCCGAGAUGUCUGAACAUAGGAAAAAGGAUUUGUGACAUUUUAGAAUUCCUCUUCUUUCCAUCCCCAUUUCUCCUUCCCCUUUCAACACUCCUCUUGGCCUUGGGGCUUGCCCAGGGCCUCUGCUUUGAUUCUCAGGCUUCCCUUCUUGCUCGCUGAUCUCUAUCACAUGUCCUCCAACAGACUAUGCAGAGGGGUGACAGAGGCUAGAGGAGCCAGCCUAGAGGCGCAAAAGGUCUCCCUGAGGGCUUGUGCCACAGGGCCGUUCCAGGAACUGUCCGUGGUGCUGAAGUGACGCAGGCUCAGGCGCGGCAGGCAGAACCUGGCUGUGGGAGGCUGGCUCACCGGCUGCCAACUCAGCCCCAGUCACCUCACCAGCAUUCGGUGGCACCUGGGGCUGUUAUCAAGGAGAAGUGUCCCCCUAGUUGUUGCGCUGUUGCUGAAACCCUUCUUCGGUACACAUUCCCUCUGCAAGGUUGUCCUGAGCAGGAGACGCAAGUGAAUGGGGAAGGGGAGGUGAGGAAGACGUUUGGGAGGAGCAAAUGGGUGUAAAGAUAUGGUGACUUGAAUGAUAAUGUCCUCCAUAAGCUCAUAUAAUUGAGAUCUUGGUUCUUAGUUGGUGGUGUCACUGGGGUGGGCUUUGAAGUUUCAGAAACUCAUUCCAUUUCCCAAUUAGCACAUUCUUCUCUGCCUCAUGGUUGUCUCACCAUAUAAGCCCUCAGCUACUGCUUCAGUGCCUGCCAGCCUGCCUGCUGUCGCGCUGCCUGCCAGGAUGGCCAUAGACUCAGCCUCUGAAAUUGCAAACGAGCCCACAAAUGCAUUCUCUUAUAAAUUGCCUUGGUCAUGGGGUCUCUUUGCAGAUACAGAAAAGUAGCUAAGGCAGAGGAGACAGGAGUGAAGCAUGUGGAGCAAGCCAGAAGGUACCUGUGUCGAGGAGGUUCUGGUGAAGAAGAAGGUCUUGUGGAUGUCGGAGCAGAAGGACAUACCCAGACUAUCUCAGGAACAGAGAAAAAAAAUAGGUUUUGAGUGAUUAGGAUAUAUUAGGACCUGCCAUGGUUUAAAGGAGAUAAAACUGGCAGGAAGUUGGGAUGAAGAUUAAACCAAAGAGCACAUCGUUGAGGGAUUUACAUUUGGAAAGUUGCAUGGUAAGAUAAUUUAAAUGGUAAGUGAGAUAUGAGAAAGCCAGAGUUGGCCAAGAGGCUUAAAAGCUUUAAAAGGGCUGGGUCCAGCAGUAGGACCAGGGUAGAGGGACAGGAGGCUAAAGCCAAAGGGCAGGAGCGCUCUGAACAGACAGUGGAGCUGUAGAAAGGAGACAGCGGUGGGAAGCAGCACUGUCCAGGCAGAGGAGCUGGCUCUGCUGCUGCAGUGGGAAUCACAAUCAGGGGUGGCUCACUUGAGGAAGCUUUUUCAUGGUGUGUCAUAGAAGGAACAAAGUUUUGUCACAUGUUUGACACACAGUUAUCUGAGGAAUAGUCACUGCUAUAUUAUCCUCCCUGGAGAGUCUAUUUCCAUCCACCAGGAUUAGCAGAGGGAGGGAGGGAAGGAGGAGAAGCAGGAGCCAAGCAGAGUACAACACAAUUCUCAAAGGACCUGGCCUAAGAGAAGGCGCUAUGGGAUCGAUCGAUCCUGCAAAUCCUACAAUCAGGAGUCAGCUUUUAGGCCAUAUCUAGCCUGAGUCUAGGCUAACCUGGCCAUAGGAACUCUUUAUAAUCCUGGGGACAGGGCAAGGCUCUGGCCAUGUCUGUGUCCCUGUGAUCACAGGCCCUGUCCACAUGAGACACAGACAAAAGAACACAAGAGAUGAUGUAGUUGAGGUGUGACCACAUCAAAGCCCACAAUGAACUAAGUAUCGAGUGACCACAGCCUUGUUCACACUUGUCUUCCCAGUUUUUUUCCUGUCUUCUCUUGACACAUAUUCAACCUAGUAAACUCAGAUUCUGGGAGGUUCCUAAUGAUGCCAUUUUUUUUUGUCUCCCACUAGACUUUAGGAAGUUCAAUGCUCCUCAUUAUUGAGGUAGAGCACAGUUCUAAACUGGUUUAUCCUGUAGACCCUGCAGACAUCAGAGGUAGUGGUCAGGACCCUGAUCUGCAGUGCUUGUGUGCCCGGUUCCUUAGUUUGGAGUGUUGCUGAACAUCGUGUUGAUUGAGCACAAAGAGCAAGUGAAGGAGGCAGUUUUGAGAAACCUGGAAGGAACUUUCGGUGUAGGAGGAAAAGUAUGUGUCCAGGUGUUGAGGGUCAGAUAACCUCACAGCAGAAACCUGGGAUCCCAACCCGAGCCUGAGCUGUCAUCCAGUUGAGAAAAUGGAUUCAUCUUCUGUGAUAUUUCCACUCCUUAGUACUCCUCCUCCCAGGAGCUUAGGGGAAGAUUGUUCUGCAAGAAGCUCCUGGUAAGACACAGAAGUUCAUAAUUCAACAAAUCCAACUCCAAAUGGUUCACAAUGUCCUCCUGAUGUGUGAAUUCAGAUGCCAGGCUCUGACCCAAGGAUCACCUCCUGACUACCCACCACCAAGGAAGGAGCCCUUCUAAUCCAAUCCUGCCCCAGUUCAGCAGGAAGUAGACAAGUGGACAGCUUCAUGACUCAGGGUGACUCCACCUCAGGCUUCAAUGAGAGUUGGAAGUUUCCAAGGUGUUCACCCAGUGAAACAGGAGGUGGCUGAGCAAUGAUUUCUGGGGCAAGAUGGACGUCGUUCUCCAAGCCGAGUUUAAGAACCUAUCCUUGACUCUGGGUCUCCACUGUCCUGUCUCAGGUGACAGGCACAACCUUCAGGGACUGUCCUCUUUCUUGGUACACUGAUGUGUACCAAGGAGCCUCCACUUUGCUUGUACCUGAAGUAGCUGAGACACACUGACUUGACUCUCACGUAAUUUUGCCCAGAGUGUGGGCCUGCAGUGGCCACAGUGGGCCAACACCUAUGAUGGUCAGCACAGCAGGACGGCAGGAGGAUCGGCCCACUUUCCCACAGGAGCAGCAUCUUGAUGUUUCUGGUGCUCUGGACGACAGGCACCUGUGGCCCCACCAUCCCUUUAAUUGAGAAGUCAAUGGCAGAGGAUGUUGUCUCACUGUGGAUGCAACUGCAGGAUAGAAGAACACAGGCCUUUGUCACUGGCUGUAGCAACACAUGACAUGGACCAUGUCAUGACACUGAGCAGGGGCUGCUGGUGAUUGUAGGAGCCAGCCAUGAUAAGUUAAAUAUGAACAGAUCACCCAAAGGAAAUUCUUUACUUCCAACCCAUUAUCACCUGCCAAAGUAGGACUCAACUGAAAGGCCCGAAAGUCUCAAUAAUUUACCCUGAAGCAAUACCUGGUUGCAGGAAGAACCACAAACUGAGAUUACCGGAGCACCACCAGAAAACAGACCAUCCACAGGAAAUGCCUAACAUUCCAACCAUUGUAGAUAAGAUCACCUGCCAGCAAACACCAGGAUGCCCCUAGACAAAUGUUAGCCAAUCAGAGGUCCUGAACCUCAGAAACCACUCACCCCCACCUUUACUACUAUAAAAACCCUACUCUAACUGAGC